rnacentral:rRNA from 1 species
UGGGGAAUAUUGCACAAUGGGCGCAAGCCUGAUGCAGCCAUGCCGCGUGUAUGAAGAAGGCCUUCGGGUUGUAAAGUACUUUCAGCGGGGAUGAAGGGAGUAAAGUUAAUACCUUUGCUCAUUGACGUUACCCGCAGAAGAAGCACCGGCUAACUCCGUGCCAGCAGCCGCGGUAAUACGGAGGGUGCAAGCGUUAAUCGGAAUUACUGGGCGUAAAGCGCACGCAGGCGGUUUGUUAAGUCAGAUGUGAAAUCCCCGGGCUCAACCUGGGAACUGCAUCUGAUACUGGCAAGCUUGAGUCUCGUAGAGGGGGGUAGAAUUCCAGGUGUAGCGGUGAAAUGCGUAGAGAUCUGGAGG